rnacentral:lncRNA from 1 species
AAAUAGAUUAAUAUUCCAUAGAAUAGUCAGUUCAGGAGGAUGGAUGGUUGAUUUAGUUAUUAAAAGCGGUUAUUAUAGGAUUACAGUUAGGAUCUGGAAAUCAGUAGCAAUUAUAUAGGAGUUGUAGAAGUUUGUUGGGAGGCCAAACUAUGAUAGUCAUGAGCCGGGGUUAAGCUUGGUGCUACUUCUUUGUUUUCUUUGUUUUUUUUGUUAUUAAAGAGUAAUGGAUAGUUUUUGAAUACUAAGAAGUGAGUCUGUGGAAUAAAUCAAAGAUUGAUUUAUAAAUUAUUGAUUAUGUAAUUGGAGUAUUAUGUGAUUGAAUUAUAUGAAAAGUUAUUGGAAGAUUGAUUAUGGAUGGAAGAUUAUGAUUGUUGUUUAUUGAGAGUUGUGUGUGUUUUAGAGAGAGGAAGUCUGUGAUUACAGAAAUUCUGCGGAUCCAGAUUGGUUGGAGUGAAGUCUGUUAUUCCAGGUGUUGGAUGGAAUUUAUGAAUUUUGAGUAGUCUUUUAAGAGUGUAGGAUUGCAUACUAUUGUUAUGAGUUGAUAAAAGAGUAUUGUUACUAGAAAGAAGCAUUGUAAGAUUUCUUGGUAUUUUAGUGGUUCGGAAUACAGUUAAUUGUGUGACCCUUAUAAAUAAAGCUCAUGCAUUUAGUCUUUCCCUGUGUUCGAAUUUCCUUAUACAGGUUUGGUCUGGAA